rfam:Boseongicola aestuarii strain CECT 8489 genome assembly, contig: 0002
GCUUCGGACUCGAAACUGCCGGAUAUGCAGGCGGGUUGGGAGCAAAUGUGCUCGAACGUCAUGGCCGGACUUUCCGGGCUGAACAUGGUUUACGAGGCGG